UUGAACGCUGGCGGCAGGCCUAACACAUGCAAGUCGAGCGGUAACACAGAGAGCUUGCUCUCGGGUGACGAGCGGCGGACGGGUGAGUAAUGUCUGGGAAACUGCCUGAUGGAGGGGGAUAACUACUGGAAACGGUAGCUAAUACCGCAUAACGUCGCAAGACCAAAGUGGGGGACCUUCGGGCCUCAUGCCAUCAGAUGUGCCCAGAUGGGAUUAGCUAGUAGGUGGGGUAACGGCUCACCUAGGCGACGAUCCCUAGCUGGUCUGGGAGGAUGACCAGCCACACUGGAACUGAGACACGGUCCAGACUCCUACGGGAGGCAGCAGUGGGGAAUAUUGCACAAUGGGCGCAAGCCUGAUGCAGCCAUGCCGCGUGUGUGAAGAAGGCCUUCGGGUUGUAAAGCACUUUCAGCGGGGAGGAAGGCGGUGAGGUUAAUAACCUCAUCGAUUGACGUUACCCGCAGAAGAAGCACCGGCUAACUCCGUGCCAGCAGCCGCGGUAAUACGGAGGGUGCAAGCGUUAAUCGGAAUUACUGGGCGUAAAGCGCACGCAGGCGGUCUGUCAAGUCGGAUGUGAAAUCCCCGGGCUCAACCUGGGAACUGCAUUCGAAACUGGCAGGCUAGAGUCUUGUAGAGGGGGGUAGAAUUCCAGGUGUAGCGGUGAAAUGCGUAGAGAUCUGGAGGAAUACCGGUGGCGAAGGCGGCCCCCUGGACAAAGACUGACGCUCAGGUGCGAAAGCGUGGGGAGCAAACAGGAUUAGAUACCCUGGUAGUCCACGCCGUAAACGAUGUCGAUUUGGAGGUUGUGCCCUUGAGGCGUGGCUUCCGGAGCUAACGCGUUAAAUCGACCGCCUGGGGAGUACGGCCGCAAGGUUAAAACUCAAAUGAAUUGACGGGGGCCCGCACAAGCGGUGGAGCAUGUGGUUUAAUUCGAUGCAACGCGAAGAACCUUACCUGGUCUUGACAUCCACAGAACUUUCCAGAGAUGGAUUGGUGCCUUCGGGAACUGUGAGACAGGUGCUGCAUGGCUGUCGUCAGCUCGUGUUGUGAAAUGUUGGGUUAAGUCCCGCAACGAGCGCAACCCUUAUCCUUUGUUGCCAGCGGUUCGGCCGGGAACUCAAAGGAGACUGCCAGUGAUAAACUGGAGGAAGGUGGGGAUGACGUCAAGUCAUCAUGGCCCUUACGACCAGGGCUACACACGUGCUACAAUGGCAUAUACAAAGAGAAGCGACCUCGCGAGAGCAAGCGGACCUCAUAAAGUAUGUCGUAGUCCGGAUUGGAGUCUGCAACUCGACUCCAUGAAGUCGGAAUCGCUAGUAAUCGUAGAUCAGAAUGCUACGGUGAAUACGUUCCCGGGCCUUGUACACACCGCCCGUCACACCAUGGGAGUGGGUUGCAAAAGAAGUAGGUAGCUUAACCUUCGGGAGGGCGCUUACCACUUUGUGAUUCAUGACUGGGGUG
rnacentral:rRNA from 1 species